CCUACGGGUGGCAGCAGUGAGGAAUAGUGGUCAAUGGACGAGAGUCUGAACCAGCCAAGUAGCGUGAAGGAUGACUGCCCGAUGGGUUGUAAACUUCGUUUAUAGGGGAAUAAAAUGUUACACGUGUGGGAUUUUGUAUGUACCAUAUGAAUAAGGAUCGGCUAACUCCGUGCCAGCAGCCGCGGUAAUACGGAGGAUCCGAGCGUUAUCCGGAUUUAUUGGGUUUAAAGGGAGCGUAGGUGGAUUGUUAAGUCAGUUUUGUCAGUUUGCGGCUCAACCGGAAAAUUGCCGUUGACACUGGCAGUCUUUAGUACAGUAUAGGUGGUCGUAUUUC
rnacentral:rRNA from 1 species